GAGGAAAAGAAACCAACCGGGAUUGCCUCAGUAACGGCGAGUGAAGCGGCAAGAGCUCAAAUUUGAAAGCUGGCUCCUUCGGGGUCCGCAUUGUAAUUUGCAGAGGAUGCUUCGGGUGCGGCCCCUGUCUAAGUGCCCUGGAACGGGCCGUCAGAGAGGGUGAGAAUCCCGUCUGGGAUGGGGUGUCCGCGCCCGUGUGAAGCUCCUUCGACGAGUCGAGUUGUUUGGGAAUGCAGCUCUAAAUGGGUGGUAAAUUUCAUCUAAAGCUAAAUACUGGCCGGAGACCGAUAGCGCACAAGUAGAGUGAUCGAAAGAUGAAAAGCACUUUGAAAAGAGAGUUAAAAAGCACGUGAAAUUGUUGAAAGGGAAGCGCUUGCGACCAGACUCGCCUCCAGGGUUCAGCCGGCAUUCGUGCCGGUGUACUUCCCUGGGGGCGGGCCAGCGUCGGUUUGGGCGGCCGGUCAAAGGCUCCCGGAAUGUAGUGCCCUCCGGGGCACCUUAUAGCCGGGAGUGCAAUGCGGCCAGCCUGGACCGAGGAACGCGCUUCGGCACGGACGCUGGCAUAAUGGUCGUAAACGACCCG
rnacentral:rRNA from 1 species